AACGCGAAGAACCUUACCAAGGCUUGACAUAUACAGGAAUAUGGCAGAGAUGUCAUAGCCGCAAGGUCUGUAUACAGGUGGUGCAUGGUUGUCGUCAGCUCGUGUCGUGAGAUGUUGGGUUAAGUCCCGCAACGAGCGCAACCCUCGUUCUGUGUUGCCAGCAUUUAGUUGGGGACUCACAGGAGACUGCCGGGGUUAACUCGGAGGAAGGUGGGGAUGACGUCAAAUCAUCAUGCCCCUUAUGUCUUGGGCUGCACGCAUGCUACAAUGGCUGGUACAAACGGCUGCGAUACCGCAAGGUGGAGCGAAUCCGAUAAAGCCAGUCUCAGUUCGGAUUGGGGUCUGCAACUCGACCCCAUGAAGUCGGAGUUGCUAGUAAUCGUAGAUCAGCAACGCUACGGUGAAUACGUUCCCGGGUCUUGUACACACCG
rnacentral:rRNA from 1 species